rnacentral:rRNA from 1 species
CAUAGCGGAGAAAAGAAACCAACAGGGAUUGCCCCAGUAACGGCGAGUGAAGCGGCAACAGCUCAAAUUUGAAAUCUGGCUCCCUCGGGGCCCGAGUUGUAAUUUGCAGAGGGAGCUUUUGGCGUCGGUCGUGGUCUAAGUUCCUUGGAACAGGACGUCACAGAGGGUGAGAAUCCCGUACGUGGCCGCCGGCCUUCGCCUUGUAAAGCCCCUUCGACGAGUCGAGUUGUUUGGGAAUGCAGCUCUAAAUGGGAGGUAAAUUCCUUCUAAAGCUAAAUACCCGCCAGAGACCGAUAGCGCACAAGUAGAGUGAUCGAAAGAUGAAAAGCACUUUGGAAAGAGAGUGAAAAAGCACGUGAAAUUGUUGAAAGGGAAGCGCUUGCGGCUAGACGUGCCCGCGGUUGAUCAUCCAGGCUCCGGCCUGGUGCACUCCUCCGCGGGCAGGCCAGCAUCAGUUCGGGCGGUCGGAUAAAGGCCUCUGUCACGUACCACCCCUCGGGGUGGCCUUAUAGGGGAGGCGCAACACGGCCAGCCCGGACUGAGGUUCCGCGCAUCUGCUAGGAUGCUGGCGUAAUAGCAGCAAGCGGCCCGUCUUGAAACACGGACCAAGGAGUCUAACAUCUAUGCGAGUGUUUGGGUGUCAAGCCCGAGCGCGCAAUGAAAGUGAACGGAGGUGGGAACCCUCACGGGUGCACCAUCGACCGAUCCUGAUGUCUUCGGAUGGAUUUGAGUAAGAGCAUAGCUGUUGGGACCCGAAAGAUGGUGAACUAUGCCUGAAUAGGGUGAAGCCAGAGGAAACUCUGGUGGAGGCUCGCAGCGGUUCUGACGUGCAAAUCGAUCGUCAAAUUUGGGCAUAGGGGCGAAAGACUAAU